UUAAUUCAUUACAAAUGGAUGCUAAAUUAAAGUACAUUUUUCCAAAUCAAUCUCAUACUCAACAAAACUAACAUUUUUAAUGAAAGGUAAAAAAAUAAAUUUUUAUUUUGUUAAAAAAGGACAACUUCUCUUCAUUCUUUUUAAAAACAAAAUAGAACUUCAGAAAGGGAGAGAAGAUACACAAGUAAAUGUUUGUUUUUUUAUAAUAUCUUUUCAGAGAAUGUAAAUUUUUGUUGGGUGGAAAACAGAAUGGGAAAAAGCACUACCAUGUAGCGUCUACAUUGACCAGGUUAAGAAAGAUUCUUACCAUUAAACACUUUGUUUGGGAGUUUUAGAUAGUUUGGAUUUGGAAGGGAAAUGAUGCAUUGUCCAUGGGAUAGUAAAAGAAUGGAAAUGAGAAGGUAAUUAUUCUAUGUUUGGAUUUUACAAAAGAUAAGAAAGAAUUUUAAUUAAGGAUAAAUAGUCUUAUUAAAAACCAUUAGUAAUAAUGGAGGGAUGACUAUUAAUCCCUCAAUUUUGAAAGGAAAACAAAAUGAGAUUUGAGAGAAUUAAUCCCUUACUAUCGUCCCUUGUACAACCUCAUUAAAACAUCCAACAAGGACAAUUAUUAUCCCAUCCAAUUUCCCUUUCCUAUUCCCUCCUAUUCCUCCAUUCAAACAAUGCAUUAAGGUUUAAGAAUUAAAAAGUAUAAUGAAUUCAUUGAAAAAAUAAAUUAUCAGGACUUAAUUGACAAAUGCUAUAAACCACUAGGAUUCAUGAUGUAAUUAACACAGCAUAGAAAAUGGUAAAAAUAUUUGAAGCAACACAUGAAAAAUAAAACCAUUUCCAAAGUUGUGUAUAGCUAAUUUAGGCCAAAUGACUAAAAAAUCUAAACCUUUCCAAGCAUUAUCAAUUUUAGGCCAAUCGGCAGAUAUUCAAAGUUCAAAAAAACUACGAGAUUAAAAGCUAACACUUAUCAGCUAACCUCCAUUAAAUGAACAAUACCCUCUAAAUCCUCAACACUUUGUAAAUCUAAAUUAAACAACUUCAAUAAUUGCAUGUCUAAUGCAAACUUCAAAUAUUUGGCCAUUUCAACAUUCCCUACUUUGGAGAAUUGGCAUUUUAUGCUUAUGAUUUUUUAUGCUUAUGAUUUUGCAUUAUCAUAAAAUUCCAUGGGAUGCAUAAUACUCUGUUACUUACCCUAACAACUUGAAUAGCCACAAUAAUGCCAAACUUUCUACUCUUCUUUAUUUUUCAAUUAUUUUAUACCAAUUCCGUACUUUCCUUUAAAACUCUUGACUAAUUGCAAUUAACUCAACAUAAUGAAAAAGACAUACCUCCCCUGCUUUCAC
rnacentral:misc_RNA from 1 species